CUCUGUUUCUGAGUGUGUGUAUGAUGGCUGGCGUCUCCGGAAGAGACCAGCAUUUGAUUCUGUAGACUGAGUCAAGGAGAUCGUCCUUCCCAAUGUGGGCGGUCAUCAUCCAGUCCUCUGAGGGCCUGAACAGAGCAAGAAGGCAGAGGAAGGACAGUCUCUCCCUCUCUCCUUGAGCUGGGAUGUCCGUCUUCUCCAGCCCUCGGACGUCAGAGCUCCUGGUUCUCAGACCCUGGGGCUUGGACUGAGUUACAGCACCAGCUUCCCGGGUCUCCAGCUUGCAGACGGUAGAUGGUGGGACUUCUCGGCCUCCGUGAUCAUGUCUCCUAGAGUCCCAGGAAGAGAGCAUGGCUGUAAAGUCUGAGUCCACCCCUGUCCUUGCACAGAUCUGGAAGCUGAUGUCCACAGUGACCGACCGCAGUUCACACCAAGCCCUCAGCACCCACCCGAAGACCCCCCAUUACCAUCUGGAUCAGCUUGCAGGAGACCCAAAGGGGCAGCACGCCUGCUUCUCAGGCCAGGUUACGUCCCAAGUCUUCUUUAUAACUGCGCGCUGCCUUUUAAAUUAAAGGAUGGCCGCCAGGUGUAAACAUUUUCCCCAAGAGGAAGGGAUGCCCCAGAAAUAGACCAAUGGGAAAGUUCCCUUAGUUAGUCUUAAACACGAUUGGAAAUUUUAAAGAGAAAGGUGUUGUUGUACACCUGAAAAUUUAUACAAUGUUAUAAACCAAAGUUACUGAAAAAAAGAAAGAAAGAAAGAAAGAAAACUGGCUCUAACGUCAGAUUACUGAGAUUGAAACAGGUUUCUCCAUUUACUAGAGAUGUUACUUUGGGCAAGAUACUUAACAUUAUUGUGCAUCAAUUUCCACAUUUUGUUAAAGUGGGAAAGAUAAUUGAACUUUUAUAAGUUGAUUGGAGAAAUUAACUAUAAUAUAAAGUGUGUAGGAUAGUGUCUUAAAUACAGGAAGCAUUCAAUAAAUGUUAAUUAUUAUUAUCAAAAAAUAAAUUAAAAUAAAGAGAAAGAUGCUGGCUUAGUACAGAUUAACAAAGUAGGGUGCGAGUGUGGACCAGGCCCCCCGCUGGGAUUAACUGUUUCUGAUAAAAUGUUAUCCGUAUUUCUGAAAAGUCAGCAGCCAGGGCCAGAGUCGAAGAAUGAAAUAAGGAGGAUCUGGGUCUCUCUUGGCCCCUAGAAACCAUGUGGGCCCUUUGAAACCCACACCUGUUCACUCAAUGAGUUGCUGCUGUGUACCUGCUCUGUGCACGUGCUGUUCAUGCACGGAAAAUGCCCCUGCUCUGACAGAGGUCCCAAUAAGACAGUCCCCAAGGUCGUUCACAGAAACGGCCACUGGCUGGUGAUGGGUACUGUGGGGGACAGAGCAGGGAAGGGCCUGAGAGCCCGGCCAGGGUUGCAAUUUCAGACAAGGUGAUGGAGGAGGAAGCCUCGUGGAGGAGGUGACGCUAGAGAAAAGACACACGCAGCUGUGCUCAAAAGCAGACAUGGGCAUCGCUCCCUCAGUAGGAACUGAUGCUGUGGUUGCUGAAUAUUCACACGUCAUAUGGUCUCCUCAGGUUGUGAUCGCUUAUAUUCUACAGGCUGGAUGUAAUUUUUCUGGUCUCUUUAAUAACUCUGUGGUGAUAUUUGGGAUUUUCUAGAAGUCUGUAAGUCCCUGGUGGUCAGAGGAAUCCGCUUAUCUCCCCUGUUUUAGUGACUUUCAACACAUCACAGUGGCACCCAUGACAGGGCCCCAGAGUGUGUUAUCUUGUUAACACAGAUACGUGUCAUGGCAGGAUUCAGCUCACCAUAUGGCACCCAUUACAUCUGAAAAUAAAAAUGCUUUUCAGUUCUCUAAUUAACAAGCAUUUAUUUUGUGGAUGCUCUUGAGAUAAUGCUAAAUGUACAUAAAAGGGCUUUGAAAAUACCUUACGUGCCUGAUUUAUUUUAUAGUAGAUGUAAUGUCAUUUAAAAUACUUCAAUAUUUCCCUAAUUCAACGUCCUGCAUAUUUUCUUCACGUUUGCCCGGAAGGUGCAAUGUUCUGUGUCCCCAGCAGGUGGUGGUAUUGGCUGGCGCUCUGCACGGCCCAGGCUUUGAUGGGCGGUUUCCAGGGCUCCAGGCAGAUGUUGGAGAGGACAGGGAUCAUGUCAUUUCAGAGCCAGCAGAGCGUUCCUGAGCGCUUCAUCCUCCCUGCUGCUCCUAUGUGUGGCAGCAUCGCCCAAUCCACCGAGGCCGGAAUGGAACAGAAAGGCAGAGGAUGGGAGGAUCCACUCCUCUCCCUGCGUGAGCUGGGACAUCGGUCUUCUGGCCUCGCCCUCCCGUUCUCAGCCUUCAGACUGCCCGGCAUCUACACCACCGCCUUCCUGGGUCUGCAGCUGGCAGAAGGCACAUCAUGGGCCCCUCAGCCCCCACAAUCGUGACGCAUGGUGACUUCCACAGCAGAGCCUCAGAGCCUUGCCUGCCAUCAUUUCUCCAUCUUCCAUGGGAUGCUGAGCAAAGGGCCGGCCACUGCCCUUCAGCAGGUGCAGCCUGAGACAGCAAUGUCAUCGCACGCACGACAUGUGGGGCCAGAUCAUGUGUCCUUAAAGGGAGGACGUCUGCCCUCCUUCCCUCCUCCACCCUGUGGCUCAGAAUGCGAAGCUGUGUCUGCUCCACCACAUGAGAGGGACACCAACUUCUAAACUGCUGAAGCCGCGGUUGAUCAGUGUCUGUUAUCCGCAGCUAAACCCACAUCGUAGCUGAGCCACCAGCCACGUGAAAAGCCCUGGGAGUCAAAAAUGAAAACCACCGAAGUGGUUUGUGAUCUCAAGGAGCUUCCAGUUUAGUAGGAUGGGC
ensembl:lncRNA